CCAGAACGCCGACAAUGUACUUUCGCUUUGACUAAAAGUGAGAAAAAUUUUGAAGCUGACAUGGUUUUUAAAUUAGCGAAGCUAUUGGGAAUUGUUGGUGCAGGUGUGGUGAUAGGGAUUUAUAUUGACCAAAAUUAUGAUGUGCCAAGGGUGAACAAACAGUCAUGGGAGAGUUUAAUGAAGAAAAUGGAAGAUCUGAGGAAAGAUAACAAGACAGACUCAAAGUGACUCAAGCUUAUUUUUUUUGCACAAUUCCCUCUUUUUACAAAGAUUUGUAUACACUGUGAUAUACCUGGAAUCAAUCACAUGUUUUGCACAUGUAAAUUAAAUUUGUAAAUAAAAACAUUCCCUU